rnacentral:rRNA from 1 species
AUUGAACGCUGGCGGCAUGCUUUACACAUGCAAGUCGAACGGUAACAGGCCGCAAGGUGCUGACGAGUGGCGAACGGGUGAGUAAUGCAUCGGAACGUGCCCAGUCGUGGGGGAUAACUACUCGAAAGAGUAGCUAAUACCGCAUACGAUCUAUGGAUGAAAGCGGGGGACCGUAAGGCCUCGCGCGAUUGGAGCGGCCGAUGUCAGAUUAGGUAGUUGGUGGGGUAAAGGCUCACCAAGCCAACGAUCUGUAGCUGGUCUGAGAGGACGACCAGCCACACUGGGACUGAGACACGGCCCAGACUCCUACGGGAGGCAGCAGUGGGGAAUUUUGGACAAUGGGCGCAAGCCUGAUCCAGCAAUGCCGCGUGCAGGAAGAAGGCCUUCGGGUUGGAAACUGCUUUUGUACGGAACGAAACGGCUCUGGUUAAUACCCGGGGCUAAUGACGGUACCGUAAGAAUAAGCACCGGCUAACUACGUG